GGAAUGAUUGGGGUCAAUUGGUGGCGAAGAUAACGAGCAGAGAAAAUAAAAAAUAGCUUAAAACAAGCUGACGGUUUAAACGCCAUCGUUUCUGUAAAGGAACAUUUCAUACGACAGAUUUCUUUCUGCAGCCUGUCAGAUGAACUCCUAGGACCUUAAAUCAGGUUCUAUCAGACAGAGGUUCUUCGUGGAACAUGAAGCUGUGACGGUUUAGUUUUAGCAUCAGAGGCGUCAGCGUAGCGCCCAGAGCGCCAGCGCUCAGCAGCAGGUUUAUCUUUGGAGGGCUGUUGUUCUGCUGUGACACACGACGUCUGCAGUUACCAAGAGGUCUGUUUAUAUUAAGGAGAACAUCUCUGUGAGGUUUUGUGUUUAAAUGAAGGAGUCCAUCUGCUUUAGUCUGGUGUGUCAGAAACAUCGGCUGUUACGAGGAGAUAAAAACAGGCUUCAUGUGAAGAGACGGGUUUGUGUGUCAGCAGGCCUUUGCACUUUGAAGUGUUGAUGUGAAGACCGGUUAUCAGAGAUGAACGUUGACCCGCACGCUGACACCAGCGACCGCACCGAGCCGCAGCCUCUCUGAGUUUAACUCUGUUUGUGUCUUCAGGAAGCUGAGCCUGCGUACGGAAACCUGCAGCUCAAACACCAGCCGGCCAGCAGGAAGGUGUCAAAGAACAAGGAGGACGUCUACGAGAAUCUGUCCAAAGCAAAGAAGGACGGGAAGAAGUCCAAGUCGGAGAAGAAGAGCGGCUCGGUGAAGAAGAGAUGAAGCUGAUCAGAGGCGUGGAGUCGUAUUUAUGCUCUGUGGUAAAGACAGAACCACCAGAACGCUGGUGUCGGACGCUCAGGGGAAGUUUUUAAUGAAAAUAAAGUCUGUGAUUAGAACAAA